rnacentral:other from 2 species
AAUAUCCUGAGAUGUGCGACAACCCUGUAAUUUUGAACCUACAUUUUUUAUCAGGGCUUCUCAUAAUUGCUGUUCUUAUGUCGUGCCGUCCUGAACGGAUGACAGAGGGAUAUGCUGCGGAUUCCCACCUAGCACACGCUAGGACUCAAAAUACAGGGCCGGCAUUUUGGGAGUAUA